CCUCCGGGGGGCAGCAGUGGGGAAUAUUGCACAAUGGGGGAAACCCUGAUUCAGCAACGCCGCGUGUGCGAUGAAGGCCUUCGGGUCGUAAAGCUCUGUCCUAAGGGAAGAAUACUGACGGUACCUUAGUAGGAAUCCCCGGCUAACUACGUGCCAGCAGCCGCGGUAAUACGUAGGGGGCUAGCGUUAUCCGGAAUUACUGGGCGUAAAGGUUGCGUAGGCGGCCCUUGAAGUCAGAGGUGAAAGGCUACGGAUCAACCGUAGUAAGCCUUUGAAACUGUAGAGGUUGAGUGCAGGAGAGGAGAAGAAAAUUCCAAGUGUAACGGUGAAAUGCGUAGAUAUUGGGAGGCACACCAGUUGCGACGGCGGCUCUCUGGACUGUAACUGACGCUGAGGCACGAAAGCGUGGGGAGCGAACAGGAUUAGAUCCCCUUGUAGUC
rnacentral:rRNA from 1 species